rnacentral:rRNA from 1 species
ACCGUUACGGGGGAAGCGAAUUGCGUCGAAUUGAUUUUAUGGGGGGUGCACUGUUCAGCGCGUUUUGCGUGUACUCAGGGCAUUUUUCCUUACCCGUCGUGGGUUUUUGGAUGGUCGAAUUUGGGCCGUCUAGGACUGAGGGAUCCUCUUUUUUUAAUAUAAGGGUGAGGACGACGGGGCGCUGACGCGAUACGACCCGUCUUGAAACACGGACCAAGGAGUUCAGCAUAUGUGCGAGUCAAAGGGUGGUGAAACCUGAGGGCGCAGUGAAAGCGAUUUAACACGGAUCGUGUAAGAACUAAAACAUAUAAUUUUCAGUUUUAAGGCGGCAUACAAUGGGUGAUUGUAGGACCGACCUCGAGCAGAUAUGCUGAGACCCGAAAGAUGGUGAACUAUGCCGGAGUAGGGCGAAGCCAGAGGAAACUCUGGUGGAGGCUCGUAGCGGUGCUGACGUGCAAAUCGCUCGUCUGACUUGGGUAUAGGGGCGAAAGACUAAUCGAACCAUCUAGUAGCUGGUUUCCUCCGAAGUUUCUCUCAGGAUAGCAGGUCGACGAAAAGUUGUUGUGUGCGGUAAAGCGAAUGAUUAGCGUAUUUGGGGGUGAUUAGCCUCCAGUCGAUUCUCAAACUUUAAAUGCUCACGGAUAUUGCCGCUUGGGUGGGCG